rnacentral:misc_RNA from 1 species
AGCAGCCGCGGUAAUUCCAGCUCCAAUAGCGUAUAUUAAAGUUGUUGCAGUUAAAAAGCUCGUAGUUGAAUUUCGGGAUCAGUACGCCGGUCGUGCCUUCGGUAUGCACUGGUGUCACUGGUUUCUCCCUUCUGAAGAACCAUCAUGCCAUUCAGUUGGUGUGGCGGGGAAUCAGGACUGUUACUUUGAAAAAAUUAGAGUGUUUAAAGCAGGCUCGCGCUUGAAUACAUUAGCAUGGAAUAAUGAAAUAGGACGUUUGACCCUAUUUUGUUGGUUUCUAGGAUCGACGUAAUGAUUAAUAGGGAUAGUUGGGGGCAUUAGUAUUCAAUUGUCAGAGGUGAAAUUCUUGGAUUUAUUGAAGACUAACUACUGCGAAAGCAUUUGCCAAGGAUGUUUUCAUUAAUCAAGAACGAAAGUUAGGGGAUCGAAGACGAUCAGAUACCGUCGUAGUCUUAACCAUAAACUAUGCCGACUAGGAACCAGACGAUGUUAAUUUUUUGAAUGACUCGUUU